GACUUCGUUCCAUUUCUGUUAUGCUUCCAAACGCAGCUCCAAAGCAAGGAAUAAUAAACACUCGCUACUUUUAUCAAUUGUUUAGCAAUCAAAGUGGAUAAGAAGAGAUGUCAGAGAAGUUCUCGCCGACGUUGAGGAUUGGAGAUCUCAGCUAUUUCAUAGCACCGUCUCAGGCUUGUGUCGUCUCUUUAAAGGGAUUGAAAUCAAACACAAUGAAACCUGAUAAAUAGGAUGUUUCAAUUGCUAAGAAUCAGCAAACUGAACCCGUUAAAAUCUCGCUCAAGGACUGUUUGGCAUGCAGGAACAAGAAAAUCAUCAAAUUGUUAUCUCCUGUAUUGAUAUGUUGUGUGCAACCAUCCCCAUGAUAAAGGCAUAGAAUUUACUAUUUCUUGUGACAAAGCUGUGGGUGCAUAACAUCAGCAGAAACCAUCGUGCUGUUAUUGAUAAAGGAAAAGCCAUUAUUGUCUCCAAGUCUCCACAGUCUAGAGCUUCUCUUGCAGUUCAUUUUGGCAUCUCCGCCCUUCAGGUUUUAGUAGCAGAUCCCUUUGAGAAUCCUCUUGUUAAAAGCUUUUAUGAUGAGUGGCUUGAAGUACCUGGCUCAGAGACGGCUAAGAAAUUCUUGCACACAGCAUAUCAUCCUGUGGUUAAGAGCGUAACUGCUCGGUUACAUAACUGGUAACACUGGUCCCUAUGUCUGAUCCCACACAAAAUAUCAGAACUUCCCUAUGCUGUCAGUCCUUGGGCUUGUUUUCUCUAAGGUAUUUUUGCAGUCUCACGGAUAAUCUAUCAUCACUGGUUCAUUGCUUGCUCAUGGGAUUGCAUUUUGCAGUGGAGUUCAGUUUUGGUAGUGUUAACAGAUUUAUUAUUGUACCAUGUUCUACUAAUAUAUAUGCUCUAUGCUAGAGGCCUUUUAGAUAGGAGGAAAAAUUGGUUAUAUGACAAAUGUAACCCAUCAUUAUUUUUUUUUUCCUUUCCUUCUGGGUUAAAGGGUCGAAAUAGUUUUUCCUCAAUUCUUGUAUGUGCCUUUUUGUCUCAUUUUUGUGUAAUUGAACAGGUCCUCCGGAAUAUGACCACCAGUUAUUGAAACAAAAUAAUGUCAGCUUAUCAAUUGCCCAAUGAAUGAAUCAAUCAGAAUUUUGA